rnacentral:tRNA from 1 species
GGGGAUUUGGCUCAGUGGUAGAGCGCUUGCCUAGCAAGCACAAGGUCCUGGGUUCGGUCCCAAGCUCCG